rnacentral:rRNA from 1 species
GAUGAACGCUGGCGGCGUGCCUAAUACAUGCAAGUCGAGCGAACAGAUGAGGAGCUUGCUCCUCUGACGUUAGCGGCGGACGGGUGAGUAACACGUGGAUAACCUACCUAUAAGACUGGGAUAACUUCGGGAAACCGGAGCUAAUACCGGAUAAUAUAUUGAACCGCAUGGUUCAAUAGUGAAAGACGGUUUUGCUGUCACUUAUAGAUGGAUCCGCGCCGCAUUAGCUAGUUGGUAAGGUAACGGCUUACCAAGGCAACGAUGCGUAGCCGACCUGAGAGGGGGGUCGGCCACACUGGAACUGAGACAAGGUCCAGACUCCUACGGGAAGCAGCAGUAGGGAAUCUUCCGGAAUGGGCGAAAGCCUUACGGAGCAACGCCGCGUGAGUGAUGAAGGUCUUCGGAUCGUAAAACUCUGUUAUUAGGGAAGAACAAAUGUGUAAGUAACUAUGCACGUCUUGACGGUACCUAAUCAGAAAGCCACGGCUAACUACGUG